rnacentral:snRNA from 1 species
AUAAAUAUUAAGAAAGGCUCGACCCAGGGCGAGGCUUAUCCAUUGCACUCCGGAUGUGCUGACCCCUGCGAUUUCCCCAAAUGUGGGAAACUCGACUGCAUAAUUUGUGGUAGUGGGGGACUGCGUUCGCGCUUUCCCCUA